GGCGAUGUUUCAUUCAAAUUUUUCCUGCCCUUAUUCAACUUUCGACGGUAGGGUAGUGGCCUUACCGUGGUGGUAACGGGUGACGGAGGAUUAGGGUUCGAUUCCGGAGAGGGAGCCUGAGAAACGGCUACCACAUCCAAGGAAGGCAGCAGGCGCGCAAAUUACCCAAAUCCCAACUCGGGGAGGUAGUGACAAGAAAUAACGAUGCUCCGGCCACUGGUCGGGCAAUCGGAAUGAGAACAAUUUAAAUCCCUUAUCGAGGAUCAAUUGGAGGGCAAGUCUGGUGCCAGCAGCCGCGGUAAUUCCAGCUCCAAUAGCGUAUAUUUAAGUUGCUGCGGUUAAAAAGCUCGUAGUCGGAUUUUCGGGUGGCGCCUACCGGUCCGCCUUUGGUGAGUACUGGUAGGCGCCACCUUUCUGCCGAGGACGGGGUACUGGGCUUAGUUGUCUGGACCCCGGAGUCGGCGAUGUCACUUUGAGUAAAUUAGGGUGUUCAAAGCAGGCUUAUGCUCUGUAUACACUAGCAUGGGAUGACACGAUAGGACUUCGGUUUAUCUUGUCGGUCUGUAAAUCGGAGUAAUGAUUAAGAGGGACAGUCGGGGGCAUUCGUAUUUCGUAGUCAGAGGUGAAAUUCUUGGAUUUACGGAAGACGAACUUCUGCGAAAGCAUUUGCCAAGGAUGUUUUCAUUGAUCAAGAACGAAAGUCGGGGGCUCGAAGACGAUUAGAUACCGUCGUAGUCUCGACCAUAAACAUGC
rnacentral:rRNA from 1 species